CCUACGGGAGGCAGCAGUGGGGAAUUUUGGACAAUGGGCGCAAGCCUGAUCCAGCAAUGCCGCGUGAGUGAAGAAGGCCUUCGGGUUGUAAAGCUCUUUUGUCAGGGAAGAAACGGUGGGGGCUAAUAUCUCCUACUAAUGACGGUACCUGAAGAAUAAGCACCGGCUAACUACGUGCCAGCAGCCGCGGUAAUACGUAGGGUGCAAGCGUUAAUCGGAAUUACUGGGCGUAAAGCGUGCGCAGGCGGUUUUGUAAGUCUGUCGUGAAAGCCCCGGGCUCAACCUGGGAAUUGCGAUGGAGACUGCAAGGCUUGAAUCUGGCAGAGGGGGGUAGAAUUCCACGUGUAGCAGUGAAAUGCGUAGAGAUGUGGAGGAACACCGAUGGCGAAGGCAGCCCCCUGGGUCAAGAUUGACGCUCAUGCACGAAAGCGUGGGGAGCAAACAGGAUUAGAUACCCUGGUAGUCCACGCCCUAAACGAUGUCUACUAGUUGUCGGGUUUUAAUUAACUUGGUAACGCAGCUAACGCGUGAAGUAGACCGCCUGGGGAGUACGGUCGCAAGAUUAAAACCNCGAAAGGAAUUGACGGCUAAGACGUAGCGACGACGACGACGAGGGAGAGG
rnacentral:rRNA from 1 species